rnacentral:rRNA from 1 species
GGUUUGUCGCGUCGUCUGUGAAAUCCCGGGGCUUAACUCCGGGCGUGCAGGCGAUACGGGCAUAACUUGAGUGCUGUAGGGGAGACUGGAAUUCCUGGUGUAGCGGUGAAAUGCGCAGAUAUCAGGAGGAACACCAAUGGCGAAGGCAGGUCUCUGGGCAGUAACUGACGCUGAGGAGCGAAAGCAUGGGUAGCGAACAGGAUUAGAUACCCUGGUAGUCCAUGCCGUAAACGGUGGGCGCUAGGUGUAGGGGACUUCCACGUCUUCUGUGCCGCAGCUAACGCAUUAAGCGCCCCGCCUGGGGAGUACGGCCGCAAGGCUAAAACUCAAAGGAAUUGACGGGGGCCCGCACAAGCGGCGGAGCAUGUGGAUUAAUUCGAUGCAACGCGAAGAACCUUACCUGGGCUUGACAUAUACCGGAUCGGCGUAGAGAUACGUUUUCCCUUGUGGUCGGUAUACAGGUGGUGCAUGGUUGUCGUCAGCUCGUGUCGUGAGAUGUUGGGUUAAGUCCCGCAACGAGCGCAACCCUUGUCUUAUGUUGCCAUCACGUGAUGGUGGGCACUCAUGAGAAACUGCCGGGGUUAACUCGGAGGAAGGUGGGGAUGACGUCAAAUCAUCAUGCCCCUUAUGUCCAGGGCUUCACACAUGCUACAAUGGUCGGUACAGCGAGUUGCCACACCGUAAGGUGGAGCUAAUCUCUUAAAGCCGGCCUCAGUUCGGAUUGGGGUCUGCAACUCGACCCCAUGAAGUCGGAGUCGCUAGUAAUCGCAGAUCAGCAACGCUGCGGUGAAUACGUUCCCGGGCCUUGUACACACCGCCCGUCACGUCAUGAAAGUUGGUAACACCCGAAGCCAGUGGCCCAACCUUUUAGGGGGGAGCUGUCGAAGGUGGGAUCGGCGAUUGGGACGAAGUCGUAACAAGGUAGCCGUA